GUGAAGUGACUUGCCCAAGACCACACAGCGAGUCAGGAGCAGGCCUGUCCCUCCAGCAGUGGUGCCAUGUUGUCCCCAAGCCAUGGUGGCAGAGGAGCUGGUGUGAAUGCCCCAUCCUGCCACGUCUGUGAUGUGGGCACCUCACAUGACUGUCCCCUCCCAGCUUUUGGGGGGGACCUAGGACAUUCUGUGAGCCUGCAGGAAAGUUUACCAAAUGCUGCAGCUUUGUCCUGGUGGUGAUGGGCACCCCAUUAACGGCAACCUUGCAUUUGCUGUGUGGAGUGACCAUCACUUUACCGUCGGCAUUUGUGAAGGAAGCGUGUUUAUCUGAAAUUCUAAGAAGACGAGAGUCAGUCUAAGACACCCAGCAAACGGCGGUUUCCGUGAGCAGGGUUGGAGCCCAGGAAGCAAACCAGCACUGCACCCUAGAUUUCAGCCAGAGGACGAAAGCCCUGCCCUCAGCUUUCUCAGACCAGCCCUGGAGUAGGUGGCCCGGGGAGACCUGGGCAGUGUCCCUGCUUGUCCUGCAGACUGUGUGGCUCUGCAGACCUCUAGAUGGAGGAGGCACAAUUCUCUAAUGCUAGACGAGGACACUGAUCAUGGAAACUCACCCCAAACCUUGAAUCGUGAUAGCAUUUGAGACAGCCCGACC
rnacentral:lncRNA from 1 species